CCCUUAGAUGUUCUGGGCCGCACGCGUGCUACACUGAGUAAUUCAAUGGGUAAGGGAACGCUAGAACAUUACCUAAUCUUGAAAUUUGCUCGUGAUGGGGAUCGACGGUUGCAAUUUUCCGUCGUGAACGAGGAAUACCUUGUAGGCGCAUGUCAUCAUCAUGCGCCGAAUACGUCCCUGCCCUUUGUACACACCGCCCGUCGCUCCUACCGAUUGAGUGAUCCGGUGAGGCUCUGGGACCUGGACGGAAAGAGCGUUUCGCUUGUUCUGUUUGGGAAACUUGGUCGAACCUUAUCAUUUAGAGGAAGGAGAAGUCGUAACA
rnacentral:rRNA from 1 species